rnacentral:rRNA from 1 species
GAUGAACGCUGGCGGCGUGCCUAAUACAUGCAAGUCGAGCGAAUGGAUUAAGAGCUUGCUCUUAUGAAGUUAGCGGCGGACGGGUGAGUAACACGUGGGUAACCUGCCCAUAAGACUGGGAUAACUCCGGGAAACCGGGGCUAAUACCGGAUAAUAUUUUGAACUGCAUGGUUCAAAAUUGAAAGGCGGCUUCGGCUGUCACUUAUGGAUGGACCCGCGUCGCAUUAGCUAGUUGGUGAGGUAACGGCUCACCAAGGCAACGAUGCGUAGCCGACCGGAGGGGGGGAUCGGCCACAGUGGGACUGAGACACGGCCCGGACUCCUACGGGAGGCAGCAGUAGGGAAUCUUCCGCAAUGGACGAAAGUCUGACGGAGCAACGCCGCGUGAGUGAUGAAGGCUUUCGGGUCGUGAAACUCUGUUGUUAGGGAAGAACAAGUGCUAGUUGAAUAAGCUGGCACCUUGACGGUACCUAACCAGAAAGCCACGGCUAACUACGUGCCAGCCGCCGCAGUAA